GGGAUUCAGUAGGUCUAUGGUAUGUGUUAGAGGGAUUCAGUAGGUCUAUGGUAUGUGUUAGAGGGUAGGUCUAUGGUAUGUGUUAGAGGGUAGGCCUAUGGUAUGUGUUAGAGGGUAGGUCUAUGGUAUGUGUUAGAGGGAUUCAGUAGGUCUAUGGUAUGUGUUAGAGGGAUUCAGUAGGCCUAUGGUAUGUGUUAGAGGGAUUCAGUAGGUCUAUGGUAUGUGUUAGAGGGUAGGUCUAUGGUAUGUGUUAGAGGGUAGGUCUAUGGUAUGUGUUAGAGGGUAGGUCUAUGGUAUGUGUUAGAGGGAUUCAGUAGGUCUAUGGUAUGUGUUAGAGGGUAGGUCUAUGGUAUGUGUUAGAGGGAUUCAGUAGGUCUAUGGUAUGUGUUAGAGGGAUUCAGUAGGCCUAUGGUAUGUGUUAGAGGG